GAUGAACGCUGGCGGCGUGCCUAAUACAUGCAAGUCGAGCGAACAGACGAGGAGCUUGCUCCUCUGACGUUAGCGGCGGGCGGGUGAGUAACACGUGGAUAACCUACCUAUCAGACUGGGAUAACUUCGGGAAACCGGAGCUAAUCCCGGAUAAUAUAUUGAACCGCAUGGUUCAAUAGUGAAAGACGGUUUUGCUGUCACUUCUCGAUGGAUCCGCGCCGCAUUAGCUAGUUGGUAAGCUAACGGCUUACCAAGGCGACGAUGCGUAGCCGACCUGAGAGGGGGAUCGGCCACACUGGAACGUAGACACGGACCAGACGCCUACGGGAGGCAGCAGUAGGGAAUGUGCCGCAAUGGGCGAAAGCCUGACGGAGCAACGCCGCGUGAGUGAUGAAGGUGUUCGGAGCGUAAAACUCUGUUAUUAGGUAAGAACAAAUGUGUAAGGAACUAUGCACGGCUUGACGGUACUGAAUCAGAAAGCCACGGCUAACUACGUG
rnacentral:rRNA from 1 species